rnacentral:sRNA from 1 species
CUAGGAAAACCGCACAGCCACAGCCCCAGGGGGGAGCCCAGGGAAAGGGGCUGGCAAAGGUCUCUCCAGUCUCGAGCUCAGCUGCACCUGUUGGCACGAGAGUCACGAGCGAGAGGCGCCUGCCGGCAACAAAUCUAAGUAGAUACAAUGUUUACAGGUAACGCCGGGCAUGGGUGUUGUACAACGGGGGGAGGGCGAGCUACUAAUUAAGAUAAAUGAUGCACAAGUGAGAGCUACGAGCAAUAAGAAUCAAGAAUGAUUGCAGCACGAGUCACAGAGCUGAAGCUACAAGAGAUAAACUCAUCUCACUUAAAGACAUUUCUUGUCGAAUAACUGGCGACAUAAAUGAUAAGAAUUAUUGGCCAAA